UAAGGUCUCAGUUAGAUGAACUGUUAUAUAUAAUAUAGGUUCUUAGUAUAUAUAUAGCAAUAUAUGUAGCUUAAGGAUACUAAAAGACCGAACGAGGUUUG
rnacentral:rRNA from 1 species